rnacentral:ncRNA from 1 species
AAAUAUAUAGGGCAAACCAUGCGAAAGCAUGGGACGCAAAACUCUAGAGCCUUUGAAAUGGUAGUCAGUUGCUUAA